AGCAAAGGAGUCUGUGGCGGACCCGCCCUCAAGCCGCCAGAUCCGCCGGACAGUCAACCUCCGAUUUGGCUAUGGGCACAGAACACAAUCCGACUCCGCCAGCGCCGCCCUCAAACCGCGGCGGACCCCGUGCGAAUGCGCAUAUCGAACGCGCCCUCUCAAGUCUGCUAACGGCUCUUUCCUCAGUUUUCUCGCUGAUGGAGUGGAAGACGGCGGCGUCUGAAGGCUCACUGUCAUUCACCAGUGGCUCCAGUCUGGUUUGGGGGUCUACCCUUUCUCAUCCUGGCCUGCCAGCCAAGUAAAAAGAGAAAUAACUACAGACCUCUGCUGCUGAUACCAGUUCAGGAUGAAUUGCAGAUGCUGUGAGUCAGUGGUUCAACCAGCCAACAAACAGGAAAAGCUCAAGGCGAAGUCUUAACUGUCAGCAACUCUACCCAAAUAAAUCAG